rnacentral:tRNA from 1 species
UAUCUAGUUAAUUUAUAAUACCUGCUUGUCAAGCAGGAGUUACUAAUUUAAGUGUU